rnacentral:rRNA from 1 species
CUUAGGCGUGUGACUGCGUACCUUUUGUAUAAUGGGUCAGCGACUUAUAUUCUGUAGCAAGGUUAACCGAAUAGGGGAGCCGAAGGGAAACCGAGUCUUAACUGGGCGUUAAGUUGCAGGGUAUAGACCCGAAACCCGGUGAUCUAGCCAUGGGCAGGUUGAAGGUUGGGUAACACUAACUGGAGGACCGAACCGACUAAUGUUGAAAAAUUAGCGGAUGACUUGUGGCUGGGGGUGAAAGGCCAAUCAAACCGGGAGAUAGCUGGUUCUCCCCGAAAGCUAUUUAGGUAGCGCCUCGUGAAUUCAUCUCCGGGGGUAGAGCACUGUUUCGGCAAGGGGGUCAUCCCGACUUACCAACCCGAUGCAAACUGCGAAUACCGGAGAAUGUUAUCACGGGAGACACACGGCGGGUGCUAACGUCCGUCGUGAAGAGGGAAACAACCCAGACCGCCAGCUAAGGUCCCAAAGUCAUGGUUAAGUGGGAAACGAUGUGGGAAGGCCCAGACAGCCAGGAUGUUGGCUUAGAAGCAGCCAUCAUUUAAAGAAAGCGUAAUAGCUCACUGGUCGAGUCGGCCUGCGCGGAAGAUGUAACGGGGCUAAACCAUGCACCGAAGCUGCGGCAGCGACGCUUAUGCGUUGUUGGGUAGGGGAGCGU